rnacentral:other from 1 species
GCUAUGCUGUGGUACUCGUAAGUAGUAUCGUUUUUUGAGCCUAUAAGCUUUGAACGGGGUUCGGCGUGAGUGUAUCGUUGUGCAUGACUAUAUAAAUUUAGUAAGCCUGAGCAUACAACCGAUGAUCCCCCCCUGGUAGACAGGGCUCAAAGCGGAUCUGCUACGGUACUGUGGGUGGCGUC